CGUAGGCGAACCUGCGGAAGGAUCAUUGUCGA
rnacentral:rRNA from 1 species